CCCUUUGAAAGAUAUUUUUUGGCUUCAUUAUUAUAAUUAAUCUUAAAAAUUAUCAAACCAUCAUCAAAUUCGAAUCCUAUCGUAUAUGUAUGUAUAUAUACAUACGUAUAUACUAUUUAAUUGAUUUUCCUCUACAAUUUAAUUAAUGCAUCUCGGCAUUCAAAGUCAUAUUUCAUUAACGCUACCCACUAAUAGUUUCUUCAACUUCAAUUUAAUUUUUUGAACCAAUUUUUUUCUCUCUCCUUCCCUAAUUUCUGCUUACCCACGAUCAAUUAACUAUUAAACAAUAAAACCCAUCUCUCCUUUCUCCCUCUCAUCCUCUCCCUAUAUAUAUAUAUAUAUAACACUCAUACGUAUGUAUAUACGUAUAUUCAUCACCGUCGAUCGUCACCUUCUUCACCCCCCUCGUCUCAUUCCUGGUUUGUUUCUAGCUCGAUCACCCUCUUCUUCAAUUUUGGUUUAUACGGGUUCGUCUAAAUCUUCUCAUUGAACUUUAAUUCCCUUUUGUUUCGUUGCCCGUGUCUGAGUAUGUUUAUGCGUAUGUAUACGUGUGUGUGUGUGUGUAUACUCAUUUUUGUGUGCGUGUGUGUGUAGGAAGAAAAUGAGUGGAAGAUCAUCUAAAUCACGCUGCAGUCGGCCAGAGCUGGAGUUGAAGCUGAACUUAUCACCGCCAAGGCCGGCGGAGACUAAUAGUAAUUACAAGCCAGUUGUGAAGGAGGAGGAGUGGCCGGAGAUAUCGUCGGAGGAGGGAUCUUGUCUCGUACCGGAGACGGGGGAAGAGAGCUGUUACUCGUGCAGCCCGGAAACGACGUCGUCGUCGUUGGUGUUGGUGGGAUGCGUGCGAUGUAUGAUGUACGCGAUGAUUAAUACGACGUCGGAUGAGGUCGAACCCAAGUGUCCCAAAUGCAAGAGCACCGUCUUGCUUCGUUUCCUCAAUCAAUCAUAAACUUAUAUCGUCAUCUUCUUCAUUCGUUUCUGUUAAUUUACUUUCUAUUUUUCAAUGUUUGAAUCCAUAUACGUAUGUAUGUAUGUAUGUAUGUAUGUAUAGGAUUCUUUGUUAUUUAAGUAAUUCUUCUUUGUUAUAAAUACAUGUUAAUAUACACGUACGCGUAUGUAGUCAGAGGAAAGUGUACUGUAGCGGUGGUACAUUGAAUAGAUACAUUUUACGUGAUAUGUAUGUAUGUAUGUAUGUAUAAAUAUAUGGUUAUGAUCAAAAUCAAUGCAUUCAAACGGUAGUUGAACCAACUUUUUCAACUGAUUUACAUUAUGAAGCUCACGUGAGCAUAUGAAACAUCUCCCUUAAUCAAUUACGUCCUACAUACAUUACAUAUAACCUUUUAUAUAUAUACACACGUGUGUGUGUGUGUAUACACAUUUAUAUACGUAUACACACACAUAUAACACCUAACAAAAAACAUGAACUUCCAUAAAUUUUACGCUUCAUUAAUAAGGUUUUAUUAAAAUAAAUUUAUUAAAAUUUAAUUCAAUUUCAUUAUUAUAAUCUCCAUUAUAUUUUUUAAAAUAUUAAAUUAAUUUU
rnacentral:lncRNA from 1 species